UACGUAGGGUGCGAGCGUUGUCCGGAAUUACUGGCGUAAAGAGCUCGUAGGUGGUUUGUCGCGUUGUUCGUGAAAUCUCACGGCUUAACUGUGAGCGUGCGGGCGAUACGGGCAGGACUAGAGUAACUGCAGGGGAGACUGGAAUUCCUGGUGUAGCGGUGGAAUGCGCAGAUAUCAGGAGGAACACCGGUGGCGAAGGCGGGUCUCUGGGCAGUAACUGACGCUGGAGGAGCGAAAGCCGUGGGGAGCGAACAGG
rnacentral:rRNA from 1 species